GUGCCAGCAGCCGCGGUAAUACAUAGGGGUCAAGCGUUGUCCGGAUUUAUUGGGCGUAAAGAGCUCGUAGGCGGUUCAACAAGUCGGUCGUAAAAGUUUAGGGCUCAACCCUAAAAUGUCGAUCGAUACUGUUGUGACUAGGAUACGGUAGAGGUAAGUGGAAUUCCUAGUGUAGCGGUGAAAUGCGUAGAUAUUAGGAAGAACACCAGAGGCGAAGGCGGCUUACUGGGACAUUUCUGACACUGAGAGACGAAAGCAUGGGGAGCGAAAGGGAUUAGAUA
rnacentral:rRNA from 1 species